rnacentral:rRNA from 1 species
UACAGAAGCCCCGAGCGUUACCCGGAUUUAUUGGGCGUAAAGGAUGUGUAGGUGGUGUGAUUAGUCGUGCGUUAAAUCCUGGGGCUUAACCUCAGGCUCGCGUACGAAACGGUCACACUGGAGGAGGUGAGAGGUGUGUGGAACUCAAGGUGUAGGGGUGAAAUCCGUUGAUAUCUUGGGGAACACCAAAAGCGAAGGCAACACACUGGCACUUUCCUGACACUGAAACAUGAAAGCGUGGGUAGCGAAUCGG